AGAGUUUGAUCCUGGCUCAGGAUGAACGCUGGCGGCGUGGAUAAGGCAUGCAAGUCGAGCGCUCCAUUUUAUUAUGGAGAGCGGCAAACGGGUUAGUAACGCGUAGGUAUCUACCCCAUACACGAGGAUAACCAUCUGAAAGGAUGGCUAAUACUCGAUAGUCUCGCAAGAGUAAAGCUCCGGCGGUAUGGGAGGAGCCUGCGUCCUAUCAGCUUGUUGGUAAGGUAAUGGCUUACCAAGGCUAUGACGGGUAGGGGGUGUGAGAGCAUGACCCCCAACAAGGGCACUGAGACACGGGCCCUACUCCUACGGGAGGCUGCAGUCGAGAAUCUUCCGCAAUGGACGAAAGUCUGACGGAGCGACGCCGCGUGAAGGAUGAGGGCCCUAGGGUCGUAAACUUCUUUUAUAUGGGAAGAAUCUAGCUUGCUAGUAUGACGGUACCAUAUGAAUAAGGGGCUGCUAAUCACGUGCCAGCAGCAGCGGUAAUACGUGAGCCCCGAGCGUUAUCCGGAAUCAUUGGGCGUAAAGGGUCCGUAGGGGGCUGUAUUAGUCUCGUGUUAAAGCCAGAGGCUCAACCUCUGAUUCGCGCGGGAAACGGUACAGCUAGAGGGUGUGAGAGGUUGGCGGAACUCAUGGUGUAGGGGUGAAAUCCGUUGAUAUCAUGGGGAACACCAAAGGCGAAGGCAGCCAACUGGCGCAACCCUGACCCUGAUGGACGAAAGCUAGGGUAGCGAAGGGGAUUAGAUACCCCCGUAGUCCUAGCCGUAAACGUUGGACACUAGCUGUCUGAAGUGUCGACCCUUCAGGUGGCGAAGCAAACGCGUUAAGUGUCCCGCCUGGGAAGUACGAUCGCAAGAUUAAAACUCAAAGGAAUAGACGGGGACUCGCACAAGCGGUGGAGCAUGUGGUUUAAUUCGACGAUAAGCGAAGAACCUUACCAGGGCUUGACAUCCAGACGAACGCUUUCCGAAAGGAGAGUUUCCUUUAUGGCGGCUGGACAGGUGCUGCAUGGCUGUCGUCAGUUUGUGCCGUGAGGCGCUCCCUUAAGUGGGGUAACAAACGCAACCCUUGUCCUAUGUUACAAGUGUCAUAGGAUACUGCCGCGCAAAACGCGGAGGAAGGUGGGGAUGACGCCAAGUCAGCAUGGCCCUUUGACGCCCUGGGCUACACACAUGCUACAAUGGCCAGUACAAUGAGUCGCCAAGUCGCAAGACGGAGCUAAUCUCAUCAAAACUGGUCCCAGUUCGGAUUGGAGUCUGCAACUCGACUCCAUGAAGUUGGAAUCGCUAGUAAUCGUGGGUCAGCCACACCACGGUGAAUACGUUCUCGAGUCUUGUACUCACCGCCCGUCAAGUCAGCGGAGUCGGCAGCACCCGAAGUACCUCAUUACUAUGAGGUCCCAAGGUGAGGUCGGUAACGAGGAUUAAGUCGUAACAAGGUAACC
rnacentral:rRNA from 1 species